rnacentral:piRNA from 2 species
UCUGAGGGUCCAGGGUUCAAGUCCCUGU